rnacentral:lncRNA from 1 species
AGAAACCGACUACGGAUAAAACUCCAAUCAUCCUGGUGGCCACGUCGGUGUUGAGAUUAUUCCAGUGCACAUAAACUUGCACCAUAAUAGUGUUAUUACACUUGAUGUUGUGACGAAAAAGAAUAGACAAAGGUUAUGUGACCAUCAGAGUCGCAAGCCUAAGGAACUUGAUUGGAAGUGAUAUCAAGUCUAAUGCGACAUUUGAGCUAGGAUACCUAAAACACAAGGUGGAUCGGUGACCCCUGAGGAAGCUCUAAAUAGUGAGCCACUUCCACUAUAUUCUCUAGCAUUACAUAUAUUCUGUAAUACUUAGCGCUUAGCGUAGGCUUUUGCCUCACCUUCAUUGAUGACUGUUGAUAAGGCUGUAACUUUAGGUAAACCUUAUCCCCUACUUGCAAGGUCCUUUUCGUCCUAUUUUUGCCAGCGUAAAACUUCAUUCUUGCUUGAGCUAGCUACAAAUUCUACUUAAGAUGCUACAAAAUCUACCGUCGUUAAGGUGCAGAUGCUUCAGCCUAAUUAUGAGGCAAAUGCCUUAGCGAACACAUACGAAUUUGUGGUGGAGCGAAGCCAUAAAAGACUUCAAAAGGAGUAGCCUUUAAGGUUGUAUGGUAUUUCAUAUUGUACCAAAACUCUACUAGGUGUAGCCAUUUGGACCACUAUUUAGGUUGGUCAAACACUAUGGCCCUGAGGUAAGUCUCUACAUAUUUGUUGAGACGUUCAGUUUGACCAUCUGAUUGUGGAUGGUAAGCUAGACGUGUUUAUCUUGGUCUUGAGUGUAGUAAACAAUUGUUUCCAAAAUAGGCUUGUAAAAAUGGAAUCUCCAUCUACAACUAUAGAUUUAGGUAGCCUAUGUAGCCUAUAAAUUUCCUUUAAAAAUACUUCAGCUAUAGCCUGAGUAGUGUAAGGGUGCUUCAAUGUGAUGAAAUGACCAUGCUUGGUCAGCCUAUCCACUGCCACCAAAAUGGAAUUUUUAUGGUUGGAUAUAGGUAACCCAUCUAUAAAUUCUAUUCCAAUGUCCUUCCAUAGUGUUUUAGGAAUUGGAAGAGGUUGUAGAAGACCUGGAUAGUGGACAUUCUCAUAUUUGAUCUUUUGACAGAUGUCACCUCACUCAUCCACUAAAAAAUGUUCUUUUCCAUGUUAGGCCAGUAGAAUAGCAUUUUAAUCCUCCUAUAAGUGGCUUAUUGACCUGAAUGCCUACCCAAUGGAGAAGGGUGCGGUGCUUCCCAAGUCUUGCUCCUUAAAUCAGUUCCUUUUCCAAUAUAAAUCUUCUAAUUAUGUAUGAUAACUCCCUAAUGUGGGGUAUACUUACCCAAAUUAGUGGGAGUGGUAACCAGUGUUGUGACCAACUGUAAGACAGCUUUAUUAUGCUCAUAACUCACAGUCACUUCCUUUAUCCAAGUGGAUUCUAAUAUAGUCAUAGAAGACAUGUGAGCCUCACCUUUCACCUUCCUAGACAAAGAAUCUGCUACUCUAUUUUCUAUGCCUUCCUUGUAUUGUACCUCAUAAUCCAGUUCUAGUAUCUUAGUCAAUCCUUUUUGCUGCAAAGUAGUGGUGAGCUUUUGUUAUAAUAAGUAAGACUGUGAUGGUCAGUUCUAGUAAUAAAAUUCCCUACCAAUAGGUUAUGUCUCUGUCUCUCUAUUGUAGAUAAAAUUGCUAAGUAUUCUUUCUCAUUUGUAGACAACCGCCAAUGUUUAGAGCUAUAACUUUGCUAAAAUAUGCUAUAGGUAUACUUUCUUGCAUUAACACUACUCUUAUUCCUAUAUCACAAGCAUCGGUCUCCACUAUGAAAGCCAUAGAUAAAUUAACUAAAGCCAGUACAAGGGCAGUGAUCAUUGCUUGUUUUAACUCUUCAAAGGUACUAUCAGCUUCUGAGCUCCAAAUGAAAGAAUUCUUCUUUAAUAAGGCAGUGAGGGGCUUACUAAUCCACCCAUAGUUCUUGAGAAACCUCCUAUAGUAUCUUGUAAGUCCCAAAAACUCCCUUAAUACCAAAGGGUUUUUGGAACUGGCUAAAAUACAUUGUUUCAAUCUUGGUAGGGUCUGUUUUAACUCCUUUACUGGUGAUUAUGUGACCAAGGUCUUCCACCUUGUUCUAACCAAAGGCAUACUUAGAUUUCUUAGCAUAAAGUUGUUCCUUGCUAAAAAUUUGUAGUAUCUUCCUUAAGUGUUCACCAUACUCGUGUAUAAUACUACUAUAGACAAAAAUGUCAUAAAAAAGACUAGAAAAAAGUGUUUUAAGUAAUCCCAGAAAAUGAUAAGAGGCUAUUUCUCCUGAAACAUAGUUCAUCAGGCUUUACAAGGUGUUUGGGGAAUUAGUCAAGCCAAAAGGCAUGACUUUAAACUCAUAAUUCCCCAAAUGCGUUCUAAAGGCAGUCUUGUAGAUAUCAAUACUAUUUAUCCUUUUGGUGGUAGCUUGCCUUAGAUCAAUCUUGGAAAAUACUAAAUCCCCAUACAAUUCAUCCAACAAAUCAUCCACCAAUGGAAUAAUAAAUUUAUCCUUAAUGGUCAUAUUGUUUAAUUCUCUAAAAUCCACACAAAACCUCCAUGUACCAUGCUUCUUUUUUACCGAUAACACCGGCAUAAGAAGGGAGAAUGACUAUCUUGGAUAUUUUAUUUGUUUUCAAUAUAUUUUUUCUAAAAACCAAUUGUACCUAUAUGGUCUAAUACUAACAAAUACUGUUUCAGGUUUUAAUGGAAUGAAAUAGUCAUGUUGCCUCUGUGGUAGUAGGGUACUGGGAUCUUGAAACACAUUCUCAAAUUCCUCCAGCUUUGAAUUUAAACUCAGGGGUAAAUUUUAUUGUUCUCUUCCAUCAAAUGAUGUCUUGGUAAAGAGAUGACCCAUAUUGACUUUCUUUUUUAAGUAGUUGUCUCACACUAUUGGUUAACAUGCUCUGCAGAUUGGGUUUAUGGUAAAUACUUUGUUCCUCACCUUAUUACCUUGGUGUGUGGCCCGAGCCUCAUAUGCUACAAAAUCCAUUACAUUUAGAUUAUGACUCUACAUCUAGUCACCUUCUAAAAUUAUAUCACAGGCUUCUAAUUUCACAAGUUUAAUGGAGUCUGUCAACUCUAUUCCUUGGAUUUUCCACCUGAACUUGGGACAAAAAUGGUGCCUCAUUAGUAGUUUUCCAUUUGCAACUAUGACUCUCAUAGGAUUAACUUCCUUAAUAGUGCAUGCCAUCUCUUUAGCUACAGUCAGGUCUAGGAAACUAUGGGUGCUACCUGAAUCUAAGAGAAUAAUUAACUCUUUCUUUCCCACCUCUCCUUUCAGCAUGAUAGUGCUUGAAACUUCAACAUUUGAUAGUGCAUAGGCUUCCUCAACUAGCAUUUCUUCAGUAAACUUUUAUAUUAACUCUGUUUCUUUUAUUACAGGUUCUUCAGUUUCAUUUUCCUGAUCUUCACAACCUAUUAAGGCAUUUAGUUAUUUAUUCUUGCAUUGAUGACCAUAAUGGUAUCUGCACUUGAAACAUAAACCUUAGGCUUUCCUUGACUUGAAUAGUUUAUUGUUGGUUUAGUUUAAUCGUCUUUGACCUUUCUUAACCCCAUUGGUGCUCUUCUUGUUGGUGAAGGUUAUAGGAUUUGUAUUAACUAAUCUACUCCACUACACUCUACUCUUUCUAUUGGCCAUCUCUAUCACCUUCUCCCGAUGCCUUGCCUUAUUCAAUGCUUGGCUCAAGGUAAACAAUGCAAGUAUCUUUACAAUAUGCUUAAUUUCCUCCUUUAAUCCUUCAAUGAAAAAAUCCAAGAAAAAUUCUUCAGGUAUAGUAGGAUUGCAGAUCAAAACCCAAGAUUUCAAAUCCUCAAACCUUUCCGAAUACUCAUCAACACUCCUUUUUUGUUCGACCUUCUUAAAUUCUCUCAACAAAUUCAAUACACUAUUGUUAGUGCCUGCAAACCUUCUAUAAAUUACCUCUAUGAACUGCGCCCAAUUAACUGCUCCUCUACUAAGAUGACAAGAGAAAUAUCAUGACGCUGCCCUUCCACUAAGAUGUAAAACAGCAACUUUCAAUUCCUCUUUUGGAUUCACAAUGUGAUUAUACUGAAAAUAACUCACAUUUUCUCAACCACGCUUGAGGAUCACCUUCUUCAAAAUAUGAAAAUUCAAUUUUGUUGUGGAAUGAAUUCACUUGACUUUGUCUUCCUGCAGAUACUCCAUUAUUGUUCGUAUCACGACUACCACUCAAAGCCCCAUCUUGAAGAUUAGUUGUUGCACCCAAAAUUCCAUCCUUCACCGGAGCCAAUCUCUCCAUGAACAUAUCCAACUUUCGACCUAGGUCAUUAAUACCAAACACAUAAACAGAAGUGAAAAAACAGGGACAAAUCAAAUUUGAUUUACAAUCAAACAGGCCUUUAUGGAGACGGAGCCAAUGUUGUGACUGUAAAUGUAAAUGCAAAUAAACCUCAAGUUUCAAAUCAAAUCAAUAUUAUUUUUUUUUGUUUAACUUUUUUUUUAAAUUUCUUUUUAUUCUUAAUCAAUAUUGCUCUUUGAUCAUUUUUUUUUUGUUUGGUUCGAAAUUAUCUUGACUGACUCUUCCAUUUGUUUUUUUUUUCCUGUCUCAACGCCAGCAAAUGAUAUUUGAUUAAGAAUUUUAAAAAAUGGAUAAGACAAAUUUCAAAAAAAUAAAUAAAUAAAAUUAUACCCCAAGGCUUACCAAACCGAAGGACAAAUUAUCCAAGCACCUCUACUAGUAUGAUACCUUCUCUAGUGUGCUAACCUUAGGCAUGUUUAAUGAACCUUUGGAUAAGUUAACUGAUCUACUUAGCAGUAAAUCCAUAGUAUUAGUGUUCGGGCUAUUAUACAAAAAUGUAAUUAUUAUUUUCACUUAACAUAUUGUUCUUCAAAAAAGUUAAUUAUUUUGAUCAAUUGUAUGAUUAACUGAAUUGGACUCCCCAAUUGUGUAAUCCAUGUACUGUGACAUCUCAUCUUGUCCUAAAGUUUAAAAACAAUAAAAAUAUGUUUUAACUUAAAAUGGUUCCGAAACACCAACAGGCUAAGUGAUUCUUGAGCAAAAAUAAACCAAAAAAAGAUUUAUAUAGGCGAUACCGAUUAGUUUUUAGGGGUGGUCGCAAUCAACAAUCCACCUUUUUUUGUCAUAAAGGAAACCAAAAUAGGUUUAAAGAUCGAUCCCAGCCUAGAUCCAAAGGGGGGCUUAACAGCUUGAACUUCUCUCGUUGGAACAAGGCUGCAUUAUACAAAGCUGUUAUGCGCAAUUGCAAAGAAUAAGGACAAGCUUUGGGUCUGAUGGAUCCAUAGCUUCUACAUCAAAGGAAAACUAUAGGAUUCUGCCGAAUCCCCUAAGGGAGCGAGUUGGCUAGUGAGGGAGAUAUUUGAUACAAGAGGAUGAACUGGACAGAUGUUCCGCUAACUCCGGCUUUAGCAUCAAGAAGGCCUACAGUUCUUUUAUCCCUCAAUCGCAAAAGAUUCCAUGGAAGAAGCUAUUAAUGGUGAGAGGAUUGGUUCCUAUACAUCACUUCAUUCUAGCUUUGCAUAGAAGAUUGUCAACUGUCGAUAGGUUGGUAAAAUGGGGCAUUAAAGUGGACAAAUAGUGCGUUUUAUGUACAGUGGAUGUUGAGGGAACUCUCUCCCAUUUACUCUUUGAGAGCUCCUCUAUUUGACAGACUCUAUUUGGCACAGAUCACUCAGUAGAUGGAUAGGAAUGAGAACAGGCUCGUAAGAUCAUGGGAGGAAGAAAUCGCAUGGCUAUCGCAAAUGGUCAACGAUUGCAAUCCACUAAGGACCAUUCUGCAUGGAGCGUAAUGGUCGCAGGUUCCAACAGAGGCAUCGGGAUAGUGAAAUCAUGAUCAAGGACAUUGCACUUAAUGUGCACUUAGUGGGACACAGACAAUACAAAUGGAGAAAGGUUUUGCAUAACAUGUUAGGCUAUCCUUGAGUCUAUAUUGCUUUCAGAUGGAGCAGAGUAGCAUAGCAUAAAGUUUAUAGUGGUCUGUCUUUGAUCUAGUCCUGAAUCCAAAGGACUAGCAGGUGUGAAUAUGCUUACAUGGUAAAUAGAAAAAAAUCAUUUAACCAAAAAAAGAAAUUCCAACCAUAUUUUGAUUCAAUUCAUUAUUAUGAAGUUCUACUUGGUUUGAGGUUAAAUUCACAAAAGGUAAGAAAAGAUUCUAUGCAUUUUCAAUAACAUAAAGUGUCUUAUAUCAAUAUUCAAAACUAAAUAAAGUUGCAAAUCCAAACAGCAUAGAUCUACCCUUCUGUUACCAAACGAAUUCACACUGCACGAAAUGCAGAGCUCAAACAAGUAAAAUUCAUUUGAUGAGAGAUUAACUACUCUUAGAAGCACUUCCUGUGAACAAUUGCUGGACCAGAUUCAUCAUACUCACCCUUCGUUAUCCACAUCUGCAAAGCCAGUACAAGUUAGCACAUACAUAAAAGAGAACCUAUUAUUUGAGUUGAGACGUAGAUGAUAGGUUGAUUGAUCAGUGACAACAAAACAACAAAAUAAGCAAAAAGAACUAACUUGUUGGAAAGUACUGAGGGAGGCUAGAAUUGAUCCUCCAAUCCAGACACUAUACUUCCUCUCAGGUGGUGCAACAACCUUGAUCUUCAUGCUGUUCGGAGCAAGAGCAGUAAUUUCCUUGCUCAUACGAUCAGUUAUGCCAGGGAACAUAGUUGAGCCACCACUAAGCACAACAUUUCCAUAUAAAUCUCUCCUAAUAUCCACAUCACAUUUCAUGAUUGAGUUGUAGGUUGUUUCAUGAAUCCCGACGGCUUCCAUUCCAAUCAAUGAUGGCUGGAAGAGGACUUCAGGGCAACGGAACCUCUCAGCACCAAUAGUGACUAUUUGUCCAUCUGGAAGCUCAUAGCUCUUCUCAACAUCCUUACCGUUCUUUGAAGUCUCGAGCUCCUGUUCAUAAUCCGUUGCAACAUAUGCAAGUUUCUCCUUCACAUCACGGACAAUCUCCCGUUCAGCAGCAGUGGUGAAUGAAUAACCUCUCUCUGUAAGAAUCUUCAUGAGAUAAUCUGUAAGAUCACGACCAGCAAGAUCUAACCGCAAGAUAGCAUGGGGGAGUGCAUAUCCCUCAUAGAUAGGGACAGUGUGGCUCACACCAUCACCAGAAUCGAGCACAAUGCCUUGUUAAGAAGCAAGGAACAAAUUAGUAACAGAAAGCCAUAAAGAACUAGUAUACGUUCCUCAUCAAUAUGUGUUGCUUACCAGUUGUGCGACCACUAGCAUAAAGAGAUAGAACAGCCUGGAUUGCAACAUACAUGGCUGGCACACUGAAUGUCUCAAACAUGAUUUGAGUCAUUUUCUCUCGAUUUGCCUUCGGAUUAAGUGGUGCCUCAGUCAGAAGAACGGGAUGCUCCUCGGGAGCAACACGAAGCUCAUUGUAAAAGGUGUGAUGCCAGAUUUUCUCCAUAUCAUUCCAGUUGCUUACUAUACCAUGUUCAAUCGGAUAUUUUAGAGCCAAAAUACCUCUUUUGGACUGAGCUUCAUCACCAACAUAGGCAUCUUUUUGUCCCAUUCCAACCAUGACACCAGUGUAACGAGGACGACCAACUAUACUUGGAAAAACUGCCCUUGGAGCAUCAUCCCCACCAAAACCAGCCUGUAGAAACAUAUAACACAGUUAUUAUACAUCAGCGGGUCACAUAAAGAGUAUGUAAUAACUAAUACGAAUUGCAAGCAGUUUUUGCUACUAACCUUAACCAUUCCAGUUCCAUUGUCAACGACAAGUGGUUGAAUAUCCUCUCCAUCAGCCAUCUUAUAAGCUCUACAAAUACAAAUUUACAAGUAAUAAUUUGGUAACAAAUCACUAGUACAAAUACAUAAUCAAUGUAAUUUGCAUUUUUGAGAUGCAGAAACAAGUUCACCCGGAUAUUGGAAUUUCAAGCAAAG